UCUAACUACCUGUUAGUGUGGCUGGUGAGAGACCAGGGAAGCAGGGUCUGCCUAACAUCUGGUGGGAAAGACAAAUGUGCAGUGUCUACUGCCUGUUUACAGGUGGACACACUACAGUGUCCUGGUGUCAGUGUAGGUAUCUGGUGGGAAAGACAAAUGUGCAGUGUCUACUGCCUGUUUACAGGUGGACACACUACAGUGUCCUGGUGUCAGUGUAGGUAUCUGGUGGGAAAGACAAAUGUGCAGUGUCUACUGCCUGUUUACAGGUGGACACACUACAGUGUCCUGGUGUCAGUGUAGGUAUCUGGUGGGAAAGACAAAUGUGCAGUGUCUACUGCCUGUUUACAGGUGGACACACUACAGUGUCCUGGUGUCAGUGUAGGUAUCUGGUGGGAAAGACAAAUGUGCAGUGUCUACUGCCUGUUUACAGGUGGACACACUACAGUGUCCUGGUGUCAGUCAGCCCAAUCAAAGUACCAUCCUGUGGACCAAAAUUAUCAACUCACCUGCUCCGUAGAACCAAGAUGGCCAUCUUUUGAUGUGGAGAACAUGCAGUGGGUCAUCAUCAGGGAGUGUAGAGACUGAUAAAACUUGGGUCACCAUCUUCUGUGUACUGUAGGACUCAGGUCAUCAUCUCCUGUGUACUGGUAAUAAGGAUGGAGCAGCCCUUAUACGAACCCACAACAUUUGAUGUGGCUAACAGUGCUAGACAUGUAAAUUGACUAUCAACAUCACAGAAAGUACAUGCACAAUAAAUUGUAUUUGUAUAUGCA